rnacentral:rRNA from 1 species
UACGUAGGCAGCAAGCGUUGUCCGGAUUUAUUGGGCGUAAAGAGCGUGUAGGCGGUUAGGUAGGUCCGUUGUGAAAACUCGAGGCUCAACCUCGAGACGCCGAUGGAAACCAUCUGACUAGAGUCCGGAAGAGGAGAGUGGAAUUCCUGGUGUAGCGGUGAAAUGCGCAGAUAUCAGGAAGAACACCCGUGGCUAAGGCGGCUCUCUAGUACGUGACUGACGCUGAGACGCGAAAGCGUGGGGAGCGAACAGG